rnacentral:rRNA from 1 species
GACGAACGCUAGCGGCAGGCUUAAUACAUGCAAGUCGAGGGGUAGCAAGAUUGUAGCAAUACAAUUGUUGACGACCGGCAAACGGGUGCGGAACACGUACACAACCUUCCUACAAGUGGGGAAUAGCCCAGAGAAAUUUGGAUUAAUACCCCGUAACAUAGCGAUGUGGCAUCACAUUGCUAUUAUAGCUUCGGCGCUUGUUGAUGGGUGUGCGGCUGAUUAGAUAGUUGGCGGGGUAACGGCCCACCAAGUCUACGAUCAGUAGCUGAUGUGAGAGCAUGAUCAGCCACACGGGCACUGAGACACGGGCCCGACUCCUACGGGAGGCAGCAGUAAGGAAUAUUGGACAAUGGACGCAAGUCUGAUCCAGCCAUGCCGCGUGAAGGAUUAAGGUCCUCUGGAUUGUAAACUUCUUUUAUAAGGGACGAAAAAAGGUCUUUCUAGAUCGUCUGACGGUACCUUAUGAAUAAGCACCGGCUAACUUCGUGCCAGCAGCCGCAGUAACAC